AUGGGCCCUGGCUUGGACGGACGUUUGGACGCCAUGGACGGAGCGAGGCAGAGCCGUGGCUCAAGAUGUCGUCGGCGUCUGAUCUGUGGAUCAGAUCCGGUGCUUUCCGGUAGUGGCGGCAGGGCACGCAGUAAAUGUAAAAGUUGGGCGCUGGGGCAAGCUAUCCCCUACCCAGUGAAGUUGGAUCUUGCAUUCUUCAAGGCAGGGAACCGGUGGAGAAAUCUCCUGCAGGAAAGGGGAGUGGGCGGUCCAGCGAGCAUGGAGUUCUUGUUGCAGCCAUUAAACAGUACCACAACACUGCUAGAGAAGGUUAACGAGAACAACAACACCAUUGAGCCUCUUCACUACCCAGUCAUGGCGCCGGCGGUGGUUGAGCUGCCGGCCCCGGCGGCCUCAAGUGCAGAAGGCCAAAUCUGUGUUGAAGGCGCCGCUCCAGAGCCGGCCAGUGCAGACAAGGGUCAAGGUUCAGAGCACUCUAUAGAGCAAGUGGAUCCAAAAGCUCCGGGGUGGACGCAAAGAGUGCGUGUUGGCGCUGCCGCACUAGGCUGA
rnacentral:rRNA from 1 species